GAUGGUAUAGCUCAAUUGGUGAGAGCGCGUGCCUGUCACCCACGAGGUUAGUGGUUCGAGUCUGCUUGCCGUCA
rnacentral:tRNA from 1 species